CUUUGCUUUGCUUUCCAUUCCUUUCCUUUGCAAUAGAUGUACUAGUCCACUGAUCGAUGACAGCACCAACCAACCAACCAACCUGCACCGACGGUAAGCUGAACCUUGCCUGCACGUACGUAGCUAGUAGUAGCUCGGCCAGAAGCACUUUUGGAGUAAUAAUGUAGCGAUCGAUCAAUCUGUUAUCUUCUUUCUUUUCCCAUGAUCGCAAGCUCAACCGAUUCCACCUCUUCUCAGAAAAAUCAUGAGUGCCAGGGAUGGAUGAUCAUGGAGGAGUAUAUAUCUAAGCAAAUCCCGAGAUUACGACAAGACCACUCCACACGGUCGGUUCCAGUCAGACGCCAAAACUGAGCACCAAAAAGUCUGCACAGAGUGUGAUUUGCAGAUAGUGGUGGAUUUGUUUAAUUGUUCAGUGUGCGUGAUGAUUGGAACGUGAUGACCAACUUGGAGAGGAAGGGAAUCUGCUGGUCUGAUCUUAUGAUUAGAGUAUUCUUUAACUACUCUAAGCAGUAGUGAGUGAUCCACCAGUACUCUGUCAUGUUAUCUUCUGCUUGUAAGAAGAUAAGAGAGUAAAGAAAAGGUGGCAAAACACGAUGAACUAGCUGUAUCAUAGCUGUACGGAUGUAGAUAUCAAAGUGGUACGCUGAGGGAAAUAUUCCAUGCAAUAGCUGUGCAAUCACAUAGUCGGAAAAAAAAAAGGUUGUGCAACCACAUUGUUUUAUGUUUCUCGUGAUAAUUUAGAUAUCAAAGUGGCACCAUGUAAGCCAUUCUAAAAGGGGAAUUUUCGCUAUGUUUUUCCAUAGUAUUGGGAAUAUCCAUUUGACAAUAUUUGUCUAUUCAUCUUAUGAAUUAUGAUAAUGGUUGCUCUCUUGUUUUCAAGAGAUUUUAAACGCAAAAUGUGGCUUUUAAGGAGAAAACCAAUGCAUAUAGAGCAAUUAAGGUAAGUUUACAUGUUAUAAGAG